AGCAGAGCCAGGAGGGGCCAUGCAGCUGCC
rnacentral:piRNA from 1 species